rnacentral:rRNA from 1 species
UACGGGGGGGGCAAGCGUUGUUCGGAAUUACUGGGCGUAAAGGGUUCGUAGGUGGCCAACUAAGUCAGUACGUGAAAUCCCUCAGCUUAACUGGGGAACUGCGUCUGAUACUGGUUGGCUUGAGUGCAGGAGAGGAACGCGGAAUUCCAGGUGUAGCGGUGAAAUGCGUAGAUAUCUGGAGGAACACCGGUGGCGAAGGCGGCGUUCUGGACUGCAACUGACACUGAGGAACGAAAGCCAGGGGAGCAAACGGG